rnacentral:ncRNA from 1 species
UAUCGGUUUCUAUUGGUUUGAUACAGAUCAAGAGGUAAUGAUUAAUUGAAGCAGUUGGGGGCAUUAGUAUUGCGGCGCGAGAGGUGAAAUUCUUAGACCGUCGCAAGACUAACUAAAG